CCUACGGGGGGCAGCAGUGGGGAAUAUUGGGCAAUGGGCGCAAGCCUGACCCAGCAACGCCGCGUGAAGGAAGAAGGCUUUCGGGUUUUAAACUUCUUUUCUCAGGGACGAAGCAAGUGACGGUACCUGAGGAAUAAGCCACGGCUAACUACGUGCCAGCAGCCGCGGUAAUACGUAGGUGGCAAGCGUUAUCCGGAUUUACUGGGUGUAAAGGGGGUGUAGGCGGGAAAGCAAGUCAGAUGUGAAAACCAUGGGCUCAACCUGUGGCCUGCAUUUGAAACUGUUUUUCUUGAGUACUGGAGAGGCAGACGGAAUUCCUAGUGUAGCGGUGAAAUGCGUAGAUAUUAGGAAGAACACCAGUGGCGAAGGCAGUCUGUUAGACAGCAACUGACGCUGAGGCGCGAAAGCGUGGGGAGCAAACAGGAUUAGAUACCCGUGUAGUC
rnacentral:rRNA from 1 species